rnacentral:tRNA from 1 species
UGGACUGCAGCUUAGUGGACAGAGUCCUUGUCUAUGAAGCAUGAGGCCUGGGUUCUAUCCCCGGCUCUUCAG